UAUUCCUGCAAUAUUGGCAAGAGCCAAGGUGGACGUGGGAGCCUCUGGUGGGGUGCAGAGCCCACAGGCCAUGUCCAGGCUCAGCUCCAGCACCACACAGCCCACAAGUGCUGCUUCCAUGUCUGGAAGGUUCCAUGUGAUCCAGGUGUUCCUCAGGAGAGCUGUAUUGAGGCCCAUUUGUGGUGAAAGGCAGCAGUGCUUUCUCCAAGACUCGGAGGACAAUCAGAAGAGAAGGCGUUGACCAAAACCAGGCUCAUCCAGGCACCGUGGGCAUCUCCCACAGCACCAUUCAGGAUCUGAGCAAGCUGAUGGAAACCAAUUCUGUAUCUUUAAGGCAAGAUGAAAAGAUUUUAGAAUUCCCCUGACUAGUGAGAACAGAGAAUUGAUACAGCUCUACAGCAGCCAAAUGCCAGCACAUCUCUGCAUCUCAACGUCACCAUUAGUCUCAGCUAAGAGAUGGAUGGGAGAGAUUUCCUCUUUGUGUAUCAUUUGCUUAAUCAAUCUGAAAUACAACCCUGCAGUCUGAAAACAGGUCUCAAACAGCGACAGUUAAGCAGCUGUGCAAUUUGUCUGUUGCCCCAAGAACAGACUAUUUAGAUAAGGUUUGGCUGAGCCAAAAAGAAGGCUGGGAAAAGGUUCAGCAGCUCUAACAGGAGAGGGAAAAUGGCACUGUCUUGGGCUGUUAGCAUCACGGCAAGCCCUGCUCUGUUCAGGCACAGCUUCUCACCAGCCCAAGUCCAUGUUCAGUUAAUAAAUGAAAACAUCCUGUGCCUCCCCAGUUUGGCAAAGGUAGGAUUUGGGGUGAAGGAGAGAUCUCCUUUGCUUACCCUGCAUGUUUUGCCAGUAUCCCCCAACUCCCUGAAAUGUCAAGAGAAAGAUCAACAGAGUGAAAUGUAAUCUCAAAGAGAAACACGAUAUUUUUUUUUUAACGUCCUCACAGCAGCAAUCAUAAUAAAAAUACAAACCUGAGGUUUGUAAAAACGCAGCAAUAAAACCACAGACAUCUUUACAACUCCCAGAUACCCAGUGCUCCCCGGCAGCGAGCGCAAAAACCCUCCCAGACACAAGGAGCAAAACUCUAACUGGGGACCGGGCCUAAUUGUUUUACAGCCUGCAAAAAAAUAAAAAGUAAAAAAAUAAUAAAAAAAAGCCACACAUGACACCAAUUCGCAGGUCAUUACCAGCCACCAUCAGGGAAGAUAAAAUAAACUCCCUUCGUUUUCCCUCGCCUAGAGACCACGGAGCAGCUGAGUUGUGGGGAGGUGGAAUGCUGUGCUUACAGGCAGUACGUGG